GCUCAGAUUGAACGCUGGCGGCAUGCUUUACACAUGCAAGUCGAACGGCAGCGGGUCCUUCGGGAUGCCGGCGAGUGGCGAACGGGUGAGUAAUGCAUCGGAACGUACCCAGUCGUGGGGGAUAACGCAGCGAAAGCUGUGCUAAUACCGCAUACGUCCUGAGGGAGAAAGCGGGGGACCUUCGGGCCUCGCGCGAUUGGAGCGGCCGAUGUCGGAUUGGCUAGUUGGUGGGGUAAAGGCUCACCAAGGCGACGAUCCGUAGCUGGUCUGAGAGGAUGAUCAGCCACACUGGGACUGAGACACGGCCCAGACUCCUACGGGAGGCAGCAGUGGGGAAUUUUGGACAAUGGGGGCAACCCUGAUCCAGCCAUGCCGCGUGAGUGAAGAAGGCCUUCGGGUUGUAAAGCUCUUUCAGUCGGGAAGAAACGGAGCGCUCUAACAUAGCGCUCUACUGACGGUACCGACAGAAGAAGCACCGGCUAACUACGUGCCAGCAGCCGCGGUAAU
rnacentral:rRNA from 1 species